rnacentral:ncRNA from 1 species
CUAACGGCCUCUAAUACAUGGUUCUAUAAGUGCCCUCUUUAAAUUUGACUAAUUGCUGGAAACUCCUAAAUAUUUUUCUUUUUUUUUUUAUAAAAAAAAAAGAAGAUUAGGAAGAUCAGCAGGAAACUUCUAGAUGUAUUUGUGUUUAAUCAAAUAUUAUCUGUAGUAUCUUCAGAGACUAUGCGUCAAAAGCUAAUAGUUUAUAAUUGAUGUAAUUAAGCUAUUUCCCACUGGGAAAUACCCUCAGGUAUUAGUGAAAAUAUAGUCCGAUCAAGGUAGUAAUAUCUUU